UCUGGGCAUGGUGGCACGUGCCUAUAGUCCCAGCUGCUCAGGAGGCUGAGACAGGAGGAUCACUUGAGUCCAGGAGUUCUGGGCUGUAGUGCCCUAUGCUGAUCGGCUGUGCGCACUAAGUUCAGCAUCAAUAUGGUGACCUCCCGGGAGCUUGGGUUGUCUAAGGAGGGGUGAACAGGCCAGGUCGGAAACAGAGCAGGUCAAAGCUCCCGUGCUGAUCAGUAGUGGGAUCCGGCCCGUGAAUAGCCACUGCACUCCAGUCUGGGCAACAUAGUGAGACCCUGUCUAAA
rfam:Otolemur garnettii contig010264, whole genome shotgun sequence.